GUCUUGGUAACUGAAGUUCCAAAAUCCUUCUCGCACUUCAUUACAAAUGUAUGUGCUAUCAUUGGAGGCAUUUUUACGGUGUCUGGAAUAUUGGAUUCUAUCCUGCACAAUACGAUCCGGCUUAUGAGAAAGGUUGAAUUAGGAAAACAAUUUUGAUGGGCAAAGGUGAAAUAUUGGUUGUACAACGGGUCCAAAGUUUUGCUCAUUCCCCUAGUUAGCAAUUCCAUUUUGAAUGCUUUCACUCAUAAGAGAAGUGAAGUUGUCAUGGCAAAGUAUUCAGCUGAAUACUCCAAAAAAUAUGGUGAUGCCUCCACCUCAGAUGCUCCUCCACGUGAUUAUGACUUGUGGUUUGACGCAACUGAUGUCCCAACUCAUGGCCAUGUCUAUGGCUUUAGUCCCCUAGAGGAUCUCACUGGAAUUAUUGGGCAAUCAUCAUCUGCUUCCACCUCUACCGGUCAAGCUCCAGAGCUGUACACUCAUGAAGACCUUCUACGUAUUCUUGAGCAGGAAAAGAAAAAAUGGCA